AAAUGAAUAGACGGGGGCCCGCACAAGCGGUGGAGCAUGUGGUUUAAUUCGAAGCAACGCGAAGAACCUUACCAGGGCUUGACAUCUACCUGACAGCUUAUGGAAACAUGAGCAUUCCUUCGGGACAGGUAGACAGGUGGUGCAUGGUUGUCGUCAGCUCGUGUCGUGAGAUGUUGGGUUAAGUCCCGCAACGAGCGCAACCCUUGUCCUUAGUUGCCAGCACUUAAGGUGGGCACUCUAAGGAGACUGCCGGUGACAAACCGGAGGAAGGUGGGGACGACGUCAAAUCAUCAUGCCCCUUAUGUUCUGGGCUACACACGUGCUACAAUGGCCUGUACAACGGGUAGCGAGCUUGUAAAAGUUAGCCAAUCCUUCAAAGCAGGUCUCAGUUCGGAUUGCAGGCUGCAAUUCGCCUGCAUGAAGCCGGAAUCGCUAGUAAUCGUGAAUCAGCAUGUCGCGGUGAAUACGUUCCCGGGCCUUGUACACACCGCCCGU
rnacentral:rRNA from 1 species